AAGUUUAAAUACAUAGGAAGAAGAAAGACGCCUGCGCCGGUGAACGUCUCUGCCUGCGGAACACCCUGCUCUGCACCAUCCACACGGGGGUUAUGUUCAGGACUGUCUUGCUGUACAAGAAUGUACCUUGAAUAAAUAGAAGUCCAUCUGAACGGGUGACUGUGUGACCCAUGCUGCCCGACAUCCAUGGCAGCCACAUUGUGAGAUUCACAAAGGUAGAGGCUGGGAUCAGGGAGUGACAAUGGGGCUGCUUUGCCUAGGCCUCAAGCAGUAAAAUGGAACAUUUACAAAA